rnacentral:rRNA from 1 species
UACGUAGGGGGGCAAGCGUUGUCCGGAUUUAUUGGGCGUAAAGAGCGUGUAGGCGGCCUGACAGGUCUGCUGUGAAAACUCGAGGCUCAACCUCGAGAUGUCGGCGGAAACCGUCUGGCUAGAGUCCGGAAGAGGAGAGUGGAAUUCCUGGUGUAGCGGUGAAAUGCGCAGAUAUCAGGAAGAACACCUAUGGCGAAGGCAGCUCUCUGGGACGGUACUGAGCUGAGACGCGAAAAGCGUGGGGGAGCGAAACAGG